ACAUCCAAGCACUCCUGUGUGACAUGUACAUAUUCAAACACAUUUUUUAACUUUUUUAAAUUUUGAUGUGAAGUUAUAGUUUUAUAACUGGCUUAAGUUAAGUUUUAUUGGAGAAAUCUUGCCUAUAAUUCUAUAAAGAGAAAUGACAUUCCACAAAUGUCAAGCAUAUCUUUUUUACACAGAUUAUGCAAAGCUAAGAGUUGUAUCGUUAGUACAGUAUGUAAUAGUGGGUCUGCUGCUACUUUCUGUUUUAAGGUGUGAGGUUACAAUUCAAUCUCUUCUUCAAAUCAAAAAAAGAAUUCUCUGGAAUAGCAGGUUCUUACUUGGUAUUUACUUCCCUUGAUUUUAUCUUUCCUUGUCUCUUGCCAUAUUUGCUUUAUGUGGUAGAAAGCAGAUUUAUGGUUUAAUACUUGUGUCUUCAUGGCACCUCGUUAGUUUCCACAGUAAAAUGAUAUUUGGUUGCAGGAAAGGCUCCUGCAUCUGGUACAUGGACAAGUGAGUUGUUUAGUUCUAACCACAAAGAAGACAUGGUCUCUAAAGAAAACUCUCUGGCUUCUGGUUUUCAGCAAAAGAGGAAACACAGCAUUCUCUGAUCCAGGCCGUCUUUUUGUGUCUGUUAUUUAAAACCCAGUGGCUACUUCAAUUAAACAAACCUCUAAAGAUGACAAACAAAAAUCUAAACAUUGGCUAUACAUGAUCCAUGGUUCAUUGAUCUUUUCUAGGAUAUUUACUAACUAUACAGGCUGUUUUGAGGAGGAGAGAUAAUGCUGACCUGUUGUGCUUCCUAGUAUCCUCAUAUCAAAGUUAGAGAACUGCACCAGUCUUACUGAUGAGGGCUGCCACAGCUGAGCAUCAAACUAAGGAGAAACUAUUCUUGUGACUUGGCAUCUACUUUUGAAAACACUUUACAAUUUUAUCAGGCUAAUAAUACCUGGGUUUGUUCAUUGUUAUUCAGUGUUGCUAUUUUCUAAUAGCAGGCAUUAGACUUCCAUCCUAGUUUCAGGUAGGCUGAAACUUAGUGUCUGGAUAUUUACUUUGUUUUCCCUUUUUCAAACAGACCUCCUUCAUCCAAGUAGUGUGGCUCUUAUUUUGGAAUGUUCAUGUGCUAUGCAUUAUCCUUUCUCUAGUUAUCAACUUGGUAGGCCUUUUGUUUACUAAAGGAAGAGUACUCUCCACACCUGAGACCAGAUUCUUGUAUCUACCUGGUUACAGUGCAAUUUGAUUUUUUUUUCCUGGAUGGUGAGAUUUGAGUUAUUUGCAUUAACAUAGGCGAAAGAAAAAGAUGCUGCUUUGUUAUGUCUGUCACCAUGGAAACUUCGCUGCAUCUUUGGAAAUAUCAAAUAUGAAUUUUCUCUAAAAUAUUCUGAAAUAGGUUAAAUCUUAUAUAAAUAUUACUUUGUGCAAUAUUGUUGUGUAGUUAAAUGCAUAUUAGCAAAGUAUAGAGGUCACUGUGUAAACCGAUAGAAAAGUAACCAUCAGCAAAUACUACAGUGAUUAGUUAGAAUCUGUAUUAUUCCUUAUAUAUAUGUAUAUGUGUGUAUUCUCUGUUACAAAGGAUGAAGACAAAUAAAUAGGGAAACACUUCAAUGUAAACCAUUUAUGAAUUGGAAGUGAUGUUGCUUUUAGUUAUCUUUGUAAAUAAGGUAAUUAGAAUGGUAUGAAAGGUAAUGUGAUUAUUACAGGGGUGUUUUUAAAUCCUGUGUAUAAAUUCUAGGGUAAAUUCUAGUUUAUCAAACUAGUUUUUAAGGGACCUUUGAGGGUAUUUUUUGUUGUUAUUUUGUGGAGAAAAGGGGCAUAUCACAAAAUGAAUGGGUUUGGGUUAUUUCUUAUUUUUAUUUUUUUCUGUCCAGAAGAAUUUCAUAGAGCUUUACCAGGCUGUGCAAAGAAAAAUUCUUCUCAGGCAACAUUUGCUUUUAAAAAUAAUCAUGAAGAGAAAAAGUUGUUAACGCAAAAAGUUUUAUUUUGUUUUUCUUGUCUUCCAAGAUCCGAUUUCCCCACCUCCCACUUGCCAUCCAGCAGAUGCCAUCCUGUCAUCUAAGCUGGUCAUUACUAAUACACAAGGAGACUGUCUCCUGACAGCCAGCACUGUGCAAUCACUCAGGAACCAGCGGAUCUGCAAAGACCUACAAUCAAACGCAAAUCUCCAUUUUCCUUUUACAAAGCAUUCUACCCUCACUUCCAGUAUAAACAUAUUAAAAGAAUAUAAAAAUGUUGAAAAUCAUGUACUAAUGAAGUCAUUGUAUAUUAGAUUGCAAUAGAAUGGAAAGACACAUUUAGCUAGUAAUGUACCUGGAAAUCCUGAAUGUCCUACGUGAGUAUUAGAUUUUGAUAGCAUGCUUUAAAGACUGAUGAAUAUAAAAGCAGAAGCUUCGAGUUUCCUGCUGCUUUCAAAACUGUGUCCUAGUUGAGUGAUACAAAUGAUCGCAAGUUUUCUAAAUCAUUAAACUAUUUGGUUGGUGGAGUGAGGCAUGGUCUGGUAUCCUCUGAUUUGUAAAAUAGCGAUGGCAGUGAAGUUGUAACUGAAAUUGAAGCUGAUCUUCCUUUCUGGUAUGUUAUCUAUUGUGCCAGCCCUUGAGAUUACUUGCAGAAUGUGGCUAUAAGUUUUAGUAGUUUAUGGAUCAGAGGGAUAUUUUUAAAAUAUGCUAAUCGAAAGAACCUAGUAAAUUAAAUAUUCCUAACAGCAAAUAGAAUGAUUUUAUGGUAACCAUUAAAAAGAAUAAGUCUUCCCCUGUCCCAGAGGUCAUUCUAUAAUUAUCAAGAUAGGAUAAGAGUUAGGGUUACGAUUCUGAGAGAUGUCCCAAAUUCAUAAAGCAAUAAUAAUAACCUUUAUAUUGGUUCCCUCUUCCAAAGUUUAACUCUUGAGAAAUGAAUUCUUAGUCUUAAUUGUACUUUGCUUAUUCAGUACUUACAGUUUUACAUGAUUUUUACUCUAAGACUUUUGGAAAGUGCCCUGCGCCCUCAGAAACAGUCGGACUAUUAGUUCACAAAUACUACAAGCUCUUGUAUGGGGAAAAGAGCUUAUUUUAAAUAAUUUGCUAAACUUUAGGAAAUGAUAUAUCAGUCUUAACAGGCAUAAAGAUCUCACCUAAUGACUUGAGAAACUUUUGCUUAGUGCUUUUUUUCCCCUGUAUAAAUAUUGUCUAGAAGGAAAGUUAAUAUAGGAACAAGACUCC
rnacentral:lncRNA from 1 species